rnacentral:rRNA from 1 species
UGGGGAAUUUUGCACAAUGGGGGAAACCCUGAUGCAGCGACGCCGCGUGAUUUAGAAGGCCUUCGGGUUGUAAAAAUCUUUUCUAUGGGAAGAAAAUGACAGUACCAUAGGAAUAAGGACCGGCUAAUUACGUGCCAGCAGCCGCGGUAAUACGUAAGGUCCGAGCGUUGUCCGGAAUCAUUGGGCGUAAAGGGUACGUAGGCGGGUAAGCAAGUUAGAAGUGAAAUCAUAUAGCUCAAAUAUAGUAAGCUUUUAAAACUGCUCAUCUUGGGGUAUGGAAGGGAAAGUGGAAUUCCUAGUGUAGCGGUGAGAUGCGCAGAUAUUAGGAGGAAUACCGGUGGAGAAGGCGACUUUCUGGCCAUAACCUGACGCUGAGGUACGAAAGCGUGGGUAGCAAACAGG